rnacentral:tRNA from 2 species
GUCUCGUUGGUGUAGUUGGUUAUCACGUGGGUCUCAUAUUGUGUGUUUUAACAUGUCUAUAAUAUGACUACCAGUUCCUGGUGGAUAUCCCAAGGCCGCCAGUUCGAGUCUGGCACGGGACA